rnacentral:lncRNA from 10 species
UGCCAUUUGAGUGUCAGUUAGAGGAUUUCCCAGAAAACUUACAGUUGUGGCCUUCCUGUCCUACAGUUUCCCCUCCUAGGGGAACUUCACUUACUCCACAAGGCUAAGGGGAACAAUUGAGAAAACAUGGGUUUGGGAAACUGUUGGAUUGAUGGACCGAGAACCAUUAUUUCUGGAGCAGUGCAUAAGAGAAGGGAGAACCUGUAUGUGGUAACAGAGGCCACAGAACUGAUCAGCACUCCUGUGCUAAAGGACAAUAGCAGUAUGAUUGAUUUCAGCAAAUGUCCAUCCUUGGAAUACUUAUGUCAAGAUACAGAGCCACUGACUGAGUGUUGUGGCUCACACCUGUAAUCCCAGUAAUUUGGGAGGUCAAGGUGAGAGGACUGCUGGGGCCCAGGAGUUCAAGAUCAGCCUGAUCAAAUGUGGCAAGACUCUGUCUCUACAAUUUUUUUUUUAAUUAGCCAGGCAUGCUGGUACAUCCCUGUAGUCCCAGCUACUCAAGAGGCUGAGGUGGGAGGAUCACUUGAGCCCAGAAGAUCAUGGCUGCAAUAAGCUGUGGUAGUGCCACUGUACUCCAGCCUGAGAGACAGACCAAGAUUCUGUUUCACAAAAAAAAAAAAAAAAAAAAAAAAAAAAACACAGAGCCACCCUAAAGUGGAAUGGGGAUACCAAGAGC